rnacentral:miRNA from 12 species
CAACGGUAGAGGAGUUCCUUAU